UUUCCAGGGGUGAGGGUCUCUGGCAGGAGCACAGGGGUGGCCAGCUUGUCAAGGAGAGUAAGCCCUGACCAGCACCUUCCAAGAGUUCCAAGACACGAGGCCCCCUCUGUCCACUGGUCACCAACUAGACUCCACGGACAGCGACCUCCUUUGCACCCUGGAGUGGAGGCUCGCAGCGGUCCGGCGCUGGACCAAGGUCGUGCAGGGAGCAGGAGCCCCACGGCCACUGUCAACAUCUGUGGGGCUACAGCCGAGGAAUGCCUGAUGAGGGCUCGGCGUGGCCCCGCCAUGGGGCACAGGCUGGGACAGAUGGUCCAUCAUUACCCAUUUUUAUUCAUUACAAGCUCCGCGUGCCGCGACUGGCCAGCCAGCUCCAGGCUCCUUGGAGGUGCCGCGGGCCCAGCUAUUCUGGAAGGAAGAAACGGCCCUUCAUUUAGAUCAACGUGCCUCCCGGCCUCCUUUGAGCCACAGACGUUCCCGGCUCGCGCGGUCCCUGGGGUGCUGGGCUGGGCGUGGAACAGGAGUGCAGCUGCCACCUGCCUGAGGGGACUGGGAGAGGGGCCGGCACAGGACAGGAACAGGGGGCCCCUGGGGACCCCGGCCGGGGCUCGGGCGGGCAACGAGGCUCCAGGACCCCCAGGAGCCAGCUGCGGGCUGAGGCCGCCCGGAAGCCCCUCCUGAGCCCUCUCCCUGCUGGCCUCCAGCCCGCGGGGCAUAACCUGCCUCAGAAGGAGCCUGUCCUCCAUCUCUGCCCUGCUGGCCUCGUAAGGGCCUUGGGGCCCGCAGACCCCUGGUGCCGGGGAAGCUUGUG